AUGCUGUAAUUCCGUGCUUGGAAUCCUUGGCUCCUAUGAAGGCAAAUGUACACACACAGGAUAUACAGUGUUCUUGAGUUGCAUGCUGUGCUUCAGUAGCUGUCUUUUGUUCAGAACUUCAGCAUACUUGCAGAUCAUUUAACCGUGUGUUUGAUAUUACAAAACCAGCACAGGCUCUUUUUAAGCUGCCUCCAUGACUGGUGCUCUGUCCCAGGUAAUCAACAUGCCAAGACUUCUUUCUCUUCUCACUUAAUUAUAGAAAUGACAUUUCCUCUCUGCAAAUGUUCUGACUUGGAUUUCUACUUCAACAGAAAGAUUCCUUUCAAGUAUGGACCAUUCACUCUCAUUUGCACUGUUGCAAAUCUGGAAAACAUGAAAGCAGCAGAGCAUAUUUAAAAGUACCCAAAAAGCAAUGAACCAGAAGUUUUGUUCCACUUUUUACUAAUUAUCUUUG